GUAAACCACUGUCAACUAUUAGUCUUCCCACAGCUUCAAUUGCUUUCAUUAUUCUAAUCCUACUGACCAUUCUCAAAGUCCUCCCAAGUUUUUUUUUUUUAAUGAGGGAAAAUGGAUAAAACUGAGCAAUAUUAUCUCUCCACUGAGAUGUCUAGCUUUUUUUGAGUCAUGCUUAAAGUCUAACAAUAUAGUCUAAAAUUGGUUUAGGAUUCCUUUCAGCCACCAGUGCCAACUUAUCUUAGGCUAACAGGAAUAGAGUUCAGUUGAUCUAAUUUAGAACAAAUUUGUAUCCGUAGAUGGGAUGGAAAAUCUAGGUGAGGAUUAAGGUCAUGGCCAAGGUACAAGAGGAGGAGGAUGUCUGAGUUAAUUAUAACCUAGGUUAUGCAGUCUUAAUUCCGGGAAGCUGUGCCUUAGCUAGGUAGACAACUUGUUGAUUGAGGAAUAUUCUCAGAGGAACUAGAAGCUAUCCGUUUCUGAAUUCCGAGAUGAAUUUCUACGUCAUCUGAGAUGAAGGUGAAGGUGUCAGUAUCCAAAGACUAGAAAUUCUAAGAGAAAUAUGUCACUUGGAGAAAGCCCUUUAAUUUCAAAACAACUGUAUAUAUUUUGCUAAUAGCUAAAGUAAAAACAGAUAAAACCAAGAGAACAUGGCCAUCAUUGUUCAAGGCCUCAUACUCUCUGAUGCAAACAGGGUACAUGUGCAGGAUGUGCAGGUUUGUUACAUAGGUGAACGUGUGCCAUGGUGGUUUGCUGCACCUAUCAACCCAUCACCUAGCCUAAACAGUGACAAAACCAAGCUUUCAGCACUUCACCUUUCUAUGCUUCCAGUGAAAAUGGUGAUAAAGUGAAGGACGUGCUCCAGGGAAUCUGCUGAUGUCUCCAAAAUGUCAUCAGCAAAGCGGCGGAGAAAAAUGAGAAAAUCACCCAGGUUAUCUGCAAAAAAUUCUGAAAAAGAAAAUAUUCACUGGAAUUAGCCAAAUAUCUGUAUAUCUGUACUAAUAAACAUUUAAAUUCCUUUCACCCUACUUAAUGAAGGUUAAAAAAAAACCUAAAUGUUUUGUUGGUACUAGAGAUGGUGAUAAGUCAAUAAAUGUAAAAUCUCCUUUAAAUGU